UACGGAGGUGGCAAGCGUUAUUCGGAAUUAUUGGGCGUAAAGAGUUCGUAGGCGGGAGGUUAAGUUUGGCGUGAAAACCCUCGGCUCAACCGGGGGAAGCCGCUAAAGACUGGCCUUCUCGAGCCAGACAGAGGUCGGCGGAAUUCCGGGUGUAGCGGUGGAAUGCUUAGAUAUCCGGAAGAACACCGGUGGCGAAGGCGGCCGGCUGGGUCUGCGCUGACGCUGAGGAACGAAAGCUAGGGGAGCGAACGGG
rnacentral:rRNA from 1 species